ACGGGUAUUCUUGGGUAAAUAACAUACCAUCAAAUGUUAUUGCUUGAGAAUACACGUAG
rnacentral:pre_miRNA from 1 species